ACAUCCACAUGUCUGUCUCUGUGGCACACAGGUGCAUGCAUGUGUGCUCUGACUUUCACAUGUCUGUCUCUGUGGCACACAGAUGCAUGCACGUGCACACA
ensembl:miRNA Mir6316 microRNA 6316